rnacentral:rRNA from 1 species
UACGUAGGGUGCAGGCGUUAAUCGGAAUUACUGGGCGUAAAGCGUGCGCAGGCGGUUUCUUAAGUCAGAUGUGAAAGCCCCGGGCUUAACCUGGGAACUGCGUUUGAAACUGGGAGACUUGAGUGUGGCAGAGGGGGAUGGAAUUCCACGUGUAGCAGUGAAAUGCGUAGAUAUGCGGAGGAACACCGAUGGCGAAGGCAGCCCCCUGGGCUAGCACUGACGCUCAGGCACGAAAGCGUGGGGAGCAAACAGG